CGCUCCAUCUUGCUGCCACAUGUUCGGUCAACCUCCAGCAGCAUCCACCGAAAUCAACUUUGGCCGUGUCUUCCGCUCAUGAAGCCAGCGAAGCCCUACAACGAAGCCAGUCCACGUUCCUCUCCAUCUUCGCUGCUUCUCUCGGUCAAAACCCCAACGAAGACUUCAGCUGCUCGAAGGCCCACCGAAUUGGCGCCCUCUCACGCUGCCACUUCAUCCGCCAAAGCAGCCCAAGAAACCAGCCCGUCUUCAACUCAAGUGCAGCCCAGCUCCAUCAACGUCUUGGCCCAAUUCCCAGCUGUGGCCGUAGGUUCAGCCCACGAAACCAACAGCUCCAUUGAAGUCGACAACUCAGCCAAGCUUUGGCCCAACAGAUGGCCCAAUUCCAGCCCACUUGAAGCC
rnacentral:lncRNA from 1 species